AAUGUCGUAACAAGGUUUCCGUAGGUGAACCUGCGGAAGGAUCAUUUAAAUGAAGUUCGGCUUCGCGGCCCAAAGGUUUCUCACCCUUUUCGUAUACCGAAAUCUAUGUUGGCUUUCGGCAGGCCCCUGCAUUUGCUCGGGCCUGCCAGAGGUUAUAAAGCCCUAGAACUCUCUGCUGUCUGAGUACUAUGCAAUAGUUAAAAG
rnacentral:misc_RNA from 1 species